rnacentral:rRNA from 1 species
UACGUAGGGUGCAAGCGUUGUCCGGAAUUAUUGGGCGUAAAGAGCUCGUAGGCGGCCUGUCGCGUCUGGUGUGAAAACUCAGGGCUUAACCCUGAGCUUGCAUCGGGUACGGGCAGACUAGAGUGCGGUAGGGGAGACUGGAAUUCCUGGUGUAGCGGUGAAAUGCGCAGAUAUCAGGAGGAACACCGGUGGCGAAGGCGGCCAACGUG